GACGAACGCUGGCGGCGUGCUUAACACAUGCAAGUCGAACGGAAAGGCCCUGCUUUUGUGGGGUGCUCGAGUGGCGAACGGGUGAGUAACACGUGAGUAACCUGCCCUUGACUUUGGGAUAACUUCAGGAAACUGGGGCUAAUACCGGAUAGGAGCUCCUGCUGCAUGGUGGGGGUUGGAAAGUUUCGGCGGUUGGGGAUGGACUCGCGGCUUAUCAGCUUGUUGGUGGGGUAGUGGCUUACCAAGGUCUUGAUGGGUAGCCGGCCUGAACGGGUGACCGGACACAUUGGGACUGGGAUACGGCCCAGACUCCUACGGGAGGCAGCAGUGGGGAAUAGUGUACAAUGGGAGGAAGCCUGAUGCAGCACCGCCGCGUGCGGGAUGACGGCCUUCGGGUUGUAAACCGAUUUCGCCUGUGACGAAGCGUGAGUGACGGUAAUGGGUAAAGAAGCACCGGCUAACUACGUG
rnacentral:rRNA from 1 species